rnacentral:lncRNA from 1 species
UAUUUACUGUAAAAACAAGUGAGACAUUUUACAGUAAAUAUUGAGACAAGUGAGACAUUUUACAGUAUAUAUUGAGACAAGUGAGACAUUUUACAGUAAACAUUGAGACAAGCGAAACAUUUUACAGUAAAUAUUGAGACAAGUGUAACAUUUUACAGUAUAUAUUGAGACAAGUGAGACAUUUUACAGUAAAUAUUGAGACACAUUCUAUGUCUUUCAUUUUCGUUUUUAUCAGAAACAACACCAUCUUCAGCUACUUGAAUAGUUAUAUUUCCUCUUUGUUCACUAAUCCUAGAUCUAGUAGUCAUAAGUUGUAUAUUAAAGUUUUGUUAUUAAAAAAUUUUGGUAAUUCAAAAUAUAGAAAGAAAGAAAUCGUGAAUACUAGUGUUAUAUUUCUGUUUAAAGAGUUUCUCAACACGUGAGUCGGCUCAACAUAAAAUUAUAUUAGACUGACUGCCAGAGUUUAACACCUCUAUCUCUUCAAUUUAUAUAAUAAUAAAAAUGGUGUAGAUCUUUUUUUGAAAAUCAAAUCUGACUUGACUAUUUCAGUGUAUUUUGAUAAUUUUGUUACAGACUGUCAGUUGGUGGUCCUUUCAAAAUUUAUCUCAUUAGCACACCUCUGCAACAGAUAAAUAAAAAUAAAUACAAAAGUAUAUACGUGUUGUCAUAUCAAAAGGAUAUGCAUAAUUAUUUCUUUUUUUCUCUGUUUAAAUGCUUAUUUUUGAGGAAAAUAAUCAAAUAUUAACAUGUUACCAUGUAAAUGAAGUGUUUUUUUAUUCAAAGUUAGAAACUUAAGAUUUCUGAAUGAAGUGGUUUAUUAAAUAGAAACAGGAACAGUGUACAAAGUGAAAGUAUCGUGAGUUAUUAUAUUAUUGUGUCUAGAGAAAAAUUAGUAGUAAGAGUGUGUACAAUUAAAGAAUGUAAAAUUCAUUUGUACAAAUACACUUCCGUCAAAAACAACGUGAAGAAACUUUUGGGAUAACUGUAGGAAGUGUUUUGUAAUCUUUGUUAUUUAAAAAAAAAAAAGAUAUAAUAUUGCAGAUAAAAUUGGUAUACAGUUUAGUGGUGUAGUAGAAUUAAAAGUCGCUUUUAGGAAUAUUGGUGUAAAAUUGUACGUGUAAGCGUCAUUUGUAUGUUAUUUACUUACAUAUUUUAAAAUCUGAAAUUUCCAAGUGUAUUUUUUUUCAUUUGAUUUCUUUUUCUUUUGCACAACUUUAGAAAAAAAAUAAUAAUGUAACAGAAUAACUCUAAAGUUAAAGUAGUUUCUUUUUCUGCUCUUAUUAGUUUUUCUACAUUAUUUACCUAUAAAAUAAACUUGUGGGUUAACUUGUUUAAAUUGUAAUAUUUACUAAGAAAGAGCUUUGUAUGGUUUUCUAGAAACUUUAUUGAUAUCUUUGAUCAGAAUUGUCCCACUAGGUUUAUAAUUGGGUGGAAUUUAGAAAGAUAUAUAUACAUUAUCAUUGAGAAUUGUACGAUAUUUAUCCUGUUUGAAUUCAUAAAAAAAAAACCUAUUGUGGUGGUAAGAUUGAUGAAGCUGUUUGGAGAGGGGGGGGGGGGUAGGAUCAUGCUAGGAUCCAAUCAAAAAACUAUUUUAUUAAUUAAUUUUAAAAGUUAUAACAGAUUGUUGUAGCCACCAGUUAUAUCAUCUGUUGUGAUUGAAAGAGAAGUUGGUCCUAAAUCUAAGUUUGUGUUGUUAAACAGAGGUUUCCACUUCUGAUUCUGGAAAUAACUUUGGAUUUUCUUUUUCAAAAACGAUCCGUGCUCCCUAUUAUUGGCUGCACACCUCCCUACCCUACUUUAUAUGGAUGGUGUAGGUACGUGAUCCCUGCCUAAUUAUAUAGAAGUUAUUUGGGGAAAGUUGAUUCAUGUAGUCACUCAUUAACUAAAAAUUACUUAGAUGGAUCUGGUACGUGUGCGAGGUCAUAUCUCACGAUCACAACAUUUUUUUGGUGGGGCUCGACAACCUGGAUUAAUAAGUAACAUUUAAUUGGAUGGAAAUUAGAUAUUGAGUCAGGGUGACUGAUGGUAAUUAUUAACUCUCUCUGAUUGUGAUUAGCAAUAGUGUUUUAAGCGUUUACAUUCAUACAGGCAAACAGUUAUUUUCUCAAAAUUCUAGGAUGUUAUUUAGUAAAAAAGAUCCAAAUUUGAUGUGUGAAGAAGGACAGUUUUUUUCUUGAGCAAUAUCUCAUUAACGUGUAGUAUUCAAAUAGUUUUUUAAUCGGGAAAGUAUAUGUAAUAAUUUUGAGCAUUUUUUUUAAAAAGAAUUGCAGACAUUUAUAUGUUAGGUUUUGACCCCGCAUGGUAUCUAGAACUUAAUUUAAAUAACUUAGUAAUGUAUCUUUGCUACUUUAUAAUAUCUACUAAUGGUUCUUUUUUUUAAAAAAAAUCUCUUCAGAAAGAAGUUUUUAUUUGUAUACUUUUUUUCUGAAACUUAUUCUUGUAGUUUUUUCAGUGAGUAUGUAUUUCUUGUAUGUAGAUUUGAGUUUUUUCUUAGAAUAUCAUAAACCAUCUCAAUCAUUGAUAUUUUCUGUGUUAAAAUAGGGAAUUCAAACAAUUUAAACUUUCUUGUUUCUUUUUUUUAAAAGAAUUGUUCUAAUUGACAAUGAAUUUGGAAAAACGCAUGCCACAUUUCUGUGCUGUCAUCAUUGUAAGCUAUAAUUUUUCAUAAUUAAAGACAACUUGUUGCAUUCUUUAAUGAAACAUUAGUGUACAUUUGUCCACAAACAAUCGAGAAACUUGAACUGGAGAAAGAGUUUUUAGUUUAUCUAGCGUUUCGUACCUAAGAGAGGUUUAUCCUGUUUGUUAUAACAACUUUGGUAAUGUAUUUAGGGCACGAUUGUUUGCAUCUGCUGUUCUAUUAUAGUUAAGUGUGAAGAAGGUGUACUUUUAUAGUACUUGUAUAGUAUAUUAUAUGGAACAAGGUAUUCAGAGAGUGAAAGAUUGUAGAUGUAAAAAACAACAUAUUCUCUCUCUCUUUCUUUCUUUUUUAACUGCGUAUUUGUAUGUUCUCAUAACUUAUUUCAAUUCUUAUAUUAUUUUCAAAAUCAAAACCACCAAUGUAUCAAUAAAAGGUAGUACUAAAUAUGUACAUACUAACUUUGUACUUGUAAAAAAAUGGAGUAGAAUAUGUCAUUUGAAAAAAAUGUAAGGUACUUUUUUUUUUAUCUACAUAUUUUUUGUACUUGCAGAUAUUAUGAUGAUUUGUGUGAAUUAGUGUAAUUUCCUUUUGAAUAUUAAUUACGAUUUAUUCAAAAUACUGGUAACUGAAGUUAAAUCAGGGGCACAUCUAAGCUUAACUUUGAGUUAUGCAUGGUAGGAGGGUGUGGAAAAGUUUGAACCUGAAAUGGCACAUUCUGGUAACAAUUUCUGCGUAUAUAAUCUUUAAUCAAUUAACUAUACAAGCGAUAUGAAAUAUUGUAAGCAUUUACAGUUUGAUUUCUGGCAUUUCUUAUUCUAAUUUUUAUUGGGAAAAUUCGUACCUUGAACUUUCAAGUUUACAUCCUACACUUAGCUACGCCCCUCUAAGUUCGCGCCCCCAAGUGGCACAGCGGAAUGUCUGCGAACUUACAACGCCAGAAACCAGGUUUCAAUACCCGUGGUGGGCAGAGCACAGAUAGCCCAUUGUGUAGCUUUGUGCUUAACUACAAAUAAACAAACAAAUCUAAGUUUGCUUUAAAAGUUCCAAACUUAUGAAAAUAAUGAUAAUGAAAUUAAAUGGUUUCGAGAGUACAUUGUAGUUUGUUUUAUGUGUGAGAGCUAAGUUUUUGUAUGACUAACGUGUAGUUACAUAAUGUAAACACCCAUUGUUAAGUACCCGUAUAGAUAUUAAAUAAAACCAUUUACUGUGUAUGACAACAAAGGAUGAAAUAUCCAACUAGGCUUAACCAUCAAGCUUAUAGUACAUAGGUCUGCAGGGUUACUUGUGUAACAUUGGGAUCGUAUCCAAACACGUUAAUUUGUUGUGUUUGAAAGUAAUUACCUUGUUUUAGAAAUACUGGGCUCCAUGAUGAAUUGGUGCCGAUGAAACAUUCAAACUUCUGCCUUACACCAAUGAAGAUUUUAUAAUUGUUCAUCGUACAAAAUCAUUGAUAUUUGUUACCUCUUGAUGUGUAGAACAAUAAAAAAUUUAAGUAAAAUUGUUGGAGAUUUAA